rnacentral:rRNA from 1 species
CAAGCUUAGGCUUGUAGUGGCAAACGGGUGAGUAACGCAUAGGAACGUACCUGUAGGUGGGGGAAAGCCACUGGAAACGGUGGGUAAUACCGCAUAACCCCUAAGGGGGAAAGAUUUAUCGCCUACAGAUCGGCCUGUGUCAGAUUAGGUAGUUGGUGGAGUAAUGGUCUACCAAGCCCACGAUCUGUAGCUGGUCUGAGAGGAUGAUCAGCCACACUAGGACUGAGAUACGGCCUAGACUCCUACGGGAGGCAGCAGUGAGGAAUAUUGGACAAUGGGGGCAACCCUGAUCCAGCGAUGCCGCGUGAGCGAUGAAGGCCCUUGGGUCGUAAAGCUCUUUUAGCAGGGACGAUGAUGACGGUACCUGCUGAAUAAGCACCGGCAAACUUCGUGCCAGCAGCCGCGGUAAUACGAAGGGUGCAAGCGUUGUUCGGAAUUACUGGGCGUAAAGGGCGCGUAGGUGGAUUUUCAAGUUGAAUGUUAAAUUCCGGAGCUCAACUCCGAGAGCGCAUUCAAUACUGUAGAUCUAGAGUACGGAAGGGGAAAGCGGAAUUCCUAGUGUAGAGGUGAAAUUCGUAGAUAUUAGGAGGAACACCAAUGGCGAAAGCAGCUUUCUGGGACGUCACUGACACUAAGGCGCGAAAGUGUGGGGAGCAAACAGGAUUAGAUACCCUGGCAGUCCACACCCUAAACGAUGAUCGCUAGGCGUUGGGAUCUACUCAGCGUCCAAGCUAACGCGUAAGCGAUCCGCCUGGAGAUUACGGUCGCAAGACUAAAAUUUAAAGGAAUUGACGGGAACC